rnacentral:ncRNA from 1 species
GACUUACUAUUGUUUUUUGCCAUGACUACACAUGCAAGCCUCCACAGCCCCGUGCCCAAUCCCAUUAGCCUACUUAACCUAGACUAGGAGAUGAUAUCAGGCACACACGCCCUGCCCAUGACGUCUAGCUUCGCCACACCCCCACGGGCCCCAGCAGUGACAGACAUUAAGCAAUGGGCCCAUAUUAAGCCCGACUCAGCCAUGGCUAAAACCAAAGGGCCGGUAAACUUCGUGCCAGCCACCGCGGUUAUACGAAGGGCCCAAAACAAUACCAACGGCAUAAAACGUGACUAGAGCAGCCCAUAAAGAAACUCUUAACCCUAAUAUAGCUAUAAAAUGCAAAUAUUCACCGGAGACCCUACGACUUUCUAUAACACCUUGACCUCACGAAAACUGAGGCCCAAACUAGGAUUAGAUACCCUACUAUGCUCAGCCGUAAACCAAGAUGGUUUAAAUAUACCACCAUCUGCCAGAGAAUUACAAGUGAAAAACUUAAAACUCCAAGGACUUGACGGUGCCCCACACCAACCUAGAGGAGCCUGUCCAAUAAUCGAUACCCCACGCUAUACCCUACCCCCCCUCGCCCCACAGCCUAUAUACCGCCGUCGCCAGCCUACCUACUGAUAGCACAAAAGUCGGCACAACCGCACCCCACACAAGCACGUCAGGUCAAGGUGUAGCCCAUGGGGGGGCUGAGAUGGGCUACAUUUGCUACCAAUAGCAAACCAACCAAAGCUACAUGAAACUGUCAGCCAACAGGCGGAUUUAGUAGUAAACAGGGCAAGCUCUGCCCUCUUGAACUCUGCUCCAGGGCGCGUACACACCGCCCGUCACCCUCCUCACCACGCCCGGCCAAAC